GGCCAGACUCCUACGGGAGGCAGCAGUGGGGAAUAUUGCACAAUGGGGGGAACCCUGAUGCAGCAACGCCGCGUGAGUGAAGAAGUACCUCGGUAUGUAAAGCUCUAUCAGCAGGGAAGAAAAUGACGGUACCUGACUAAGAAGCACCGGCUAAAUACGUGCCAGCAGCCGCGGUAAUACGUAGGGGGCAAGCGUUAUCCGGAUUUACUGGGUGUAAAGGGAGCGUAGACGGUUAUGUAAGUCUGAAGUGAAAUGCCGGGGCUUAACCCCGGAACUGCUUUGGAAACUGUGCAGCUAGAGUGCAGGAGAGGUAAGUGGAAUUCCUAGUGUAGCGGUGAAAUGCGUAGAUAUUAGGAGGAACACCAGUGGCGAAGGCGGCUUACUGGACUGUAACUGACGUUGAGGCUCGAAAGCGUGGGGAGCAAACAGGAUUAGAUACCCGGGUA
rnacentral:rRNA from 1 species